GACGAACGCUGGCGGCGUGCUUAACACAUGCAAGUCGAACGAAGAGCGAUGGAAGCUUGCUUCUAUCAAUCUUAGUGGCGAACGGGUGAGUAACGCGUAAUCAACCUGCCCUUCAGAGGGGGACAACAGUUGGAAACGACUGCUAAUACCGCAUACGAUCUAAUCUCGGCAUCGAGGAUAGAUGAAAGGUGGCCUCUACAUGUAAGCUAUCACUGAAGGAGGGGAUUGCGUCUGAUUAGCUAGCUGGGGGGGUAACGGCCCACCAAGGCGAUGAUCAGUAGCCGGUCUGGGGGGAUGAACGGCCACAUUGGGACUGAGACCCGGCCCAGACUCCUACGGGAGGCAGCAGUGGGGAAUCUUCCGCAAUGGACGAAAGUCUGACGGAGCAACGCCGCGUGAGUGAUGACGGCCUUCGGGUUGUAAAGCUCUGUUAAUCGGGACGAAAGGCCUUCUUGCGAACAGUUAGAAGGAUUGACGGUACCGGAAUAGAAAGCCACGGCUAACUACGUG
rnacentral:rRNA from 1 species